GUUGAAGAGAUCAAUAGGAAACGCCUGUCUGGUGCCUAGCCCAGCAGCCUUCCCCGCCCCCAAUGGUCUCAUCGCCCAUGCUCUCCCCACCUGUGCAGAGAAGCAGCGGUGCAAUGUCUCCAGGACCCAGGGAGCUGAGCAGGAGAGGGUGCUACCGCCCAAGGGGAAAGGGAUGGAAAGCAAGAGAGCUUCCUGGCAGAGGAGACCUUUGAGCUAUGAUUGGAUUCGAGCAAAUCUUCCUUAUGUCCUUCCUGCAUGUGAGGCCCUGAGCAGAGUGCCAGGGAUGAGGAGGGACAGACAGAGCAGCAGCUGGCCUGACCGCCCAGUGGCAGAUGUGAGCAAGUUAUCAACUCUAGCACAACAGGAGAGCCCUUACCUGCAGCUGGGGAGACCGGGGACCUCCUGGCUGAAGUGACCUUGAAGCCAAGGCCUCAAAGCUGAAGAGGAAUGUGUUUUCCCAAGAUAAAUGCAAAGGCUGAGAUUCAAGAAAAAAACAGGUGUGAGU
rnacentral:lncRNA from 1 species